AACGAACGCUGGCGGCAUGCCUAACACAUGCAAGUCGAACGAGACCUUCGGGUCUAGUGGCGCACGGGUGCGUAACGCGUGGGAACCUGCCCUUAGGUUCGGAAUAACUCCCCGAAAGGGGUGCUAAUACCGGAUAAUGUCUUCGGACCACAGAUUUAUCGCCUUUGGAUGGGCCCGCGUUGGAUUAGCUAGUUGGUAGGGUAAAAGCCUACCAAGGCGACGAUCCAUAGCUGGUCUGAGAGGAUGAUCAGCCACACUGGGACUGAGACACGGCCCAGACUCCUACGGGAGGCAGCAGUGGGUAAUAUUGGAAAAUGGGCGAAAGCCUGAUCCAGCAAUGCCGGGUGAGUGAUGAAGGCCUUAGGGUUGUAAAGCUCUUUUACCCGGGAUGAUAAUGACAGUACCGGGAGAAUAAGCUCCGGCUAACUCCGUG
rnacentral:rRNA from 1 species